GAUGAACGCUGGCGGCAUGCUUUACACAUGCAAGUCGAACGGUAACAGGCCUUCGGGCGCUGACGAGUGUCGAACGGGUGAGUAAUGCAUCGGAACGUGCCCAGUCGUGGGGGAUAACUAUCCGAAAGGAUAGCUAAUACCGCAUACGAUCUGCGGAUGAAAGCGGGGGACCUUCGGGCCUCGCGCGAUUGGAGCGGCCGAUGUCAGAUUAGGUAGUUGGUGGGGUAAAGGCUCACCAAGCCAACGAUCUGUAGCUGGUCUGAGAGGACGACCAGCCACACUGGGACUGAGACACGGCCCAGACUCCUACGGGAGGCAGCAGUGGGGAAUUUUGGACAAUGGGCGCAAGCCUGAUCCAGCAAUGCCGCGUGCAGGAAGAAGGCCUUCGGGUUGUAAACUGCUUUUGUACGGAACGAAACGGCUCUGGUUAAUACCCGGGGCUAAUGACGGUACCGUAAGAAUAAGCACCGGCUAACUACGUGCCAGCCGCCGCGGUAA
rnacentral:rRNA from 1 species